ACCCUCAAAUCCUGCUCCUCUUUUGUUUUAUAAAUAGCACAUCCACCUGAGAUCAUGUACAUUCUGAAUAAAGAAAGAGACUCUUCCACUGUGUUAAAUAGCAUAGAGAUGCAUUUACAACCUGAAGUGUGAGAAGUUCACCACCAGCUGGGGACUGAGACCAAAUGGCUUUUUCGCUGCUGUCAGGCUGCUCUGUUGCAGGACUUGGUGUGCACUGCAGAUCUCACACCUCUGACAAUCUUAACCAGAUGGGAUGAGGGCCGUUUAGGUGGAAGACUCUUAGAAGCAGCUCCAGGUGGAAGAGCCCCACAGCCACAUCUGCAACCUUUCUGAAACAUCUGUGGAAACCCUUUAGGGUUAGUUGGUAUCUUUAUUUAGGAAAUUUGUCCAGCAAAUAAAUGCACUGUCUCUUUGCAAUUUAUGACUUACCACUGGACUUCUUUGAUAACUUGCCCUGACUUCAGAAAGAAACACUCCAUCUCACAAUAUCCUCACUGAGUCACUGACAAGGGACUGAGAAUUGCUUUUUAAAUGGUCAGGUGAGGCCAGUAGGUACUUUUGAAUCAACAAUGCACUAAGAGGAGUCUAGAGGAUCAUAGUUGCUUGCAAUUUUGGUGUUCUUUCUAGAUGUUCCAGACUUG
rnacentral:lncRNA from 1 species